rnacentral:rRNA from 1 species
CCCUUAGAUGUCCGGGGCUGCACGCGCGCUACACUGUAGAAAGCAGCGUGCUUUAAAACCUUUCCUGAAAAGGAUGGGUAACCCCAGCAAAAUUCUACGUGCUUGGGAUAGAGAUUUGCAAUUUUCUCUCUUGAACGAGGAAUUCCUAGUAAGUGCAAGUCAUCAGCUUGCGCUGAUUACGUCCCUGCCCUUUGUACACACCGCCCGUCGCUACUACCGAUUGAAUGGUUUAGUGAGAUCUCUGGAUUGACGCUGGCUAGGGGGCGACCCUUGGCCAGACUGUUGAGAAACUGCUCAAACUUGAUCAUUUAGAGGAAGUAAAAGUCGUAACA